rnacentral:lncRNA from 1 species
UAAAUUUAAUUCAUUCUUGUGAAUUUUAAAAAAAAUAUAUUUUGUCCUUUGUACUGUGAUUUUUUAUUGUACAUUUUUUGAGCAAAGAAAAAACAAGAGUGAGUAUAAGUUGGAGAAGGACAAGUUUUUAAGUCCAAGUGAAACAGAUAUUUUUUUGGUCUCUUUCUUGUGUAAAACAUAAUUUUAGUUUUGAAAUGAAUGUAUUAUUUGUUCUUAAUGCGUUCAUUUAUAAAUAAGAAUAUAGAGAUUUUUGUCUUUUCUCUCUAUCUUUUUAUUCUUUUUCUCGAUCUAGUUACUAAGAUUAUUCAAAAUUGAAGGUUACUUACCCCAAUGUCUAAAGCUCUUGUCUUACCUCAAUUCAUCUUUAUCAGAUUUCCUGUUAAACAUUUUAAUAAUAUUGAUAUAAUGAUAUAAAAUAAAAUAAAAUAAUUUAAAGUUAUUUUAUUUAUAAAUAAAAUACCCAAUAUAAAAUAAAAUAAUUUAAAGUUAUUUUAUUUAUAAAUAAAAUACCAUAUAUAUAUAUAUAGAGAGAGAGAGAGAAGGUAUUACAUAAAUGGGAGAACUUAUAGUGUCAAGGGCAUAAGAGAUUUUUUCGGUUGAAAGUUAAAAAAUUUGUCCAAAGUGACUAUUGUGAUAAUUAGAGCAAAGUAAAAUAAUUUUACGUACAAAAGAAAAAAA